CAGCCGCCACGGGAAUACGAAGGGGGCUAGCGUUGCUCGGAAUUACUGGGCGUAAAGGGCGCGUAGGCGGCCAUUCAAGUUAGAUGUGAAAGCCCUGGGCUCAACCUAGGAAUUGCAUUUGAUACUGUUUGGCUUGAGUUCGGGAGAGGUGAGUGGAAUUCCCAGUGUAGAGGUGAAAUUCGUAGAUAUUGGGAAGAACACCAGUGGCGAAGGCGGCUCACUGGACCGACACUGACGCUGAGGCGCGAAAGCGUGGGGAGCAAACAGGAUUAGAUACCCCCGUAGUCCCUGUCUCUUAUAA
rnacentral:rRNA from 1 species